rnacentral:rRNA from 1 species
UGGGGAAUAUUGCACAAUGGGCGCAAGCCUGAUGCAGCCAUGCCGCGUGUGUGAAGAAGGCCUUCGGGUUGUAAAGCACUUUCAGCGAGGAGGAAGGUGGUGAACUUAAUACGUUCAUCAAUUGACGUUACUCGCAGAAGAAGCACCGGCUAACUCCGUGCCAGCAGCAGCGGUAAUACGGAGGGUGCAAGCGUUAAUCGGAAUUACUGGGCGUAAAGCGCACGCAGGCGGUUUGUUAAGUCAGAUGUGAAAUCCCCGGGCUCAACCUGGGAACUGCAUUUGAAACUGGCAAGCUAGAGUCUCGUAGAGGGGGGUAGAAUUCCAGGUGUAGCGGUGAAAUGCGUAGAGAUCUGGAGGAAUACCGGUGGCGAAGGCGGCCCCCUGGACGAAGACUGACGCUCAGGUGCGAAAGCGUGGGGAGCAAACAGGAUUAGAUACCCUGGUAGUCCACGCUGUAAAACGAUGUCGAUUUUGGAGGUUGUGCCCUUGAGGCGUGGNUUCCGGAGCUAACG